UACGGGGGGGGCAAGCGUUGUUCGGAAUUACUGGGCGUAAAGGGCUCGUAGGCGGCCAACUAAGUCAGACGUGAAAUCCCCAGGCUCAACCUGGGAACUGCGUCUGAUACUGGAUGGCUUGAAUCCGGGAGAGGGAUGCAGAAUUCCUGGUGUAGCGGUGAAAUGCGCAGAUAUCAGGAAGAACACCCGUGGCGAAGGCGGCUCUCUGGGACGGUACUGACGCUGAGACGCGAAAGCGUGGGGAGCGAACAGG
rnacentral:rRNA from 1 species